CGUUUUGUUGAUGUUUUAUUAUAACUUUUCUGGCGAGACAAGAGUAAAUAAAAACUGAAUAAUAUAUAUUAAAAUGCUUUAAGGUGUGCUGAUUCAUCUUAUAUAUAACAUUGCAUUGUCUACAUUGUAAUGCCAGCAAAUAAACGCAUGCUUGUACCUUUCCGUAUACUGCAUUCGCAACAGUGAUUUUGUCCGCAAUAUAUUUCCCAGUCAUCAUGGAAAUGGAUAUUGAAAACUGACCUGAAAGCAGCCAGGUUGAGACAAAGGUCAUCAGCGAGAGUUUAUAGAUAAAAUGGAAACAACUGUUCAGUCAACAGCCAACAGUGAAGGGAAUGUAGAUGGAAAGAAAUCUGAAAGCAUCUCUGAUAAAGUAAUACAGGAGUCGGAAGAGGCGAAUAAGAAAUGUGACAAACAAUAUAAGAUGUUGACCACUGUUCGUGAUCAGCCAACAGUGAAGAGAAUGUAGAUGGAAAGAAAUCUGAAGGCAUCUCCGAUAAAGUAGCGCAGGAGUCGGACGUGGCGAAUAAGAAAUGUGAUAUACCAGAUAAGAUGGCAACCACAGGUUGUGAUCAAUCAAACAGUAAUGGAAAAGGAGAUGGAAAGAAAUCUGAAGGCAUCCCUGAUAAAGUAUCACAGAAUUCAGACAAGGCGAAUAAGAAACAUGAAAUACCAGAUCAGAUGGCAAACACAGGUUGUGAUCAAUCAACAGCCAACAGCAAAGGAAAUGAAGAUGGAAAGAAAUCUGAUGGCAUCUCUGAUAAAGUACUAGAAGAGUUGGACGAGGCGUAUAAGAAAAAUGGCAUACCCGGUAUAACUGAUUGCGUAAAAGCAAACCUGAAUUAUUGGAAGUCAGUUCCUCUAAAUAUUGCUAUCAUAGGAAAUAGUGGGGUUGGGAAAUCAAGCUACAUAAAUGCCUUACUUGGUGUGUCUGCUGAUGAUAAGGGGGCUGCACCAGUUGGAGUGGUUGAAACAACUGUCACUCUUACACCUUUUUCGCAUCCUGAAAACAAAAACUUAACAUUGUGGGAUUUGCCCUGGGGUAGGAACUCCAAAUUUCCCCAAAGAUGGCUAUCUUCAGAAAAUAAACUUUAAAAAAUACGAUUUCUUUCUGGUAUUGACAGCAACCCGAUUCACAGAGAAUGAUAUUUGGUUGGCACAAAAGAUAAGAGAUUUAGGAAAGAAAUUUUAUUUUAUCAGAACUAAAAUUGACUUGGACAUAUCAAACGAUCAGAUUGCCCAUCCUAAAACCCAUACAAGGGAUAAUGUCAUACAAACAGUACGUUCAGACUGUAUUAACAAGUUGGAACAUCAAAAAUUUACAAAUCCUCGCGUAUUCAUCAUCAGCAAUUUUGGUGUGACCGAGUUUGACUUCGGGAAAUUGUCAGAAUGUCUAAUUCGGGAUGCUCCUGACUUCAAAAGGGAAGCAUUAACUCUAUCAUUAAGCGUUCUCACCGAAGAAAUUAUCAGAGCCAAAGAAAAGUAUCUAAAGAAAAGAAUAUACAUUGUUUCGAUUGCCUCGGCUGCAGCUGCUGCUGUUCCAAUACCAGGCGUAGGCUUUACUGUCGAUGUAUCAACUCUUCUUGAAGAAGCACUGUUCUACCGAAAGCAACUGCGACUGGAUGAUGCGUCAGUUGAAGAAAGUGCCACAGCUUUGAAUAUUUCAGUCACUGAGUUGAAGAAAAGAUUAGAUUUACAAAGUCAGCUUAUUUCAUACACGACAAGAGGUCUUCUUGCAUUCUUCGGUUCGCUGGGAAUAUCGAAACUUUCCGAAAACGUGUUAAAAGUAGCACUUCCGCUCAUCGGUUGCUUCAUUGCUGCUAGUAUGUCCUACGGAGUUCAAGUGUACUGUUUAAAACAACUGUUGGAUACAAUGGUAAAUGAUGCAUUGAAGAUCAAUGAAGAGAUGAAUGUCAUCUUUGCCAGCAACACCAUUUAAGAGACACACAAAUUACUGAGACACAAACUGGUGACAACAAUGACAACAACGAAACUAAGAUUUAGUAACCGUAAAAUAACGCAUUUGUUUGUGGACUCUAUGACAUGUAUUAAACACGUACAAUGAUUCUAAAUUUAAUAUUUAAAUGUUAUGAUUUGGAAUCACGCAUGUGAUUCACAGGUUAAAUACAAUCAUUUUGUAUAUUUGAUAUAUUUGAUAUAUUUGUGGGUUUACAAUAGUUUUCGAAUGGAAAAGUGGGAUAAUCAUUUGAUGAAUGUGUUGAACAGGUUGUGGUUAUCCUAACGUAUUAAAUAAAUAAUCUUUAAUGAAUUGAAAACAAAUAAUCCUAUAACAUUUUUAUUCAAAACGAGUUUGUCCUUCAGUUGGGAUAGAAUUGUUUACAGUUUGCAGAAUUUCAAUAAAGUUUUGUAGAUCAUAUAUAGAGUGUAUACAACAUUAAUGUAUUUUCAUGCUGAAUUCAUUAAACGAUUUAAAUACAAUAAAAAAAGCAACGUCUUCUAUACUUAAAACACCGUCAACGUCAAAAUGGUAAUACAUGUGUAUUAAACUAGAGUAAUAUAAAAAUAUGUGAGGGCUUCAUUUAACCGACACGAUGUUGAAUAAAUGGUAAAUAGUAUUAGUUAUUUCUGUUUUCAGAAAGUUAUGUAUUGUUUUAUAGUUCACGACUGAUGGAACACCGGAGGGAGGGCUAUAGGAAUGUCCUCGCUCCGUCUGCCUGUCCGAGCUUACAUUUGCAUA
rnacentral:misc_RNA from 1 species